ensembl:lncRNA
AAGCUUUCGGGCUCUGUACUAGCUAGCUAAUGCAAACAAACCAGGCAGUAGGCAGGGGUUUGAUGUGUGUGUUUGUGCGGUCAUCUUUCUGCUUUCAGCUCUCCUGAUUUCCGUCGCAAAACCCGCUUUUCUUUUACGACCGUCUUUUUUCUUCUUUGGUAGCCCCACAAAAAUAUAAAACUGAAGUUGCUUUAGUAAAGCACCGUUUUCCCCAUCCCCUCCUAUUAUUCUUAUUCUUUUGAGUAUUCUUCAUUGUCAAGCCGCCAAAGUGGAGAGUGUGAUUGCAGAAGGGGGUGCUUCUCGUUUCAGGUAGUGGCUCUGUUUGUUUUUGAAACAGCAGAGAAAGCUGAAGAAAUUCAUAAAAUCGAAUUGCCUUUUAUUAAAAAAAUG